AAAAAAAAAAGUUCGUCUUUUUUUUAAUCCAGUUAUCAAACUUGUGUAAAAAUAAGAAAGUAUACCCUUAAAUAGAAUUGUGCCCUGGAAGGAACCCAGAUGGCUCUCUUGAGAUUAAAAUAGUCAUCCCAGCCGGGCACGGUGGCUCAUGCCUGUAAUCCCAGCACUUUGGGAAGCCAAGGCAGCAGGACUGCUUGAGGCCAGGAGUUUGAGACCAGCCUGGCCAACAUGGUGAAACCCCCUCUUUACUAAAAAUAACAAAAAUUAGCUGGGAGUGGUGGUGGGUGCCUGUAAUCCCAGCGACUCGGGAGGCUGAGGCAGGACAAUCACCUGAACCCAAGAGGCGGAGGUUGCAGUGAGCCGAGAUCACACCAUUGCACUCCAGCCUGGGCAACAAGAGCGAAACUCUGUCUCAAAAAAAAAAAAAAAGAAAAAAAAAAACUUAAGGACAUCAUUCUCAGUUUUUUUUAAAGGGUACUAGUUUUAGUUUUGAUUUACCAAUUUAUGUUUCCGAGACGUUUUUUCAAUUAAGUGAGUCAUUUUUGAACUAUUGUGAGGCACUCAUUCUAAUUUAAUGGCUCUCAGUUUACAGGAACAUAACAUUUGAUGCCAAUGAAAUUCAUUAGAAUUCUGCGCUAUCCUGUGAACGGCGUGCCCAUCUGUCUUGUAUGUGUUUCCAGGGGUGGCUUACGAUGGUCUUCGCCAUGUACUGGAUGGACGUGUACUUAUUAUCAAUACUCACACCCUGAGACCCAAGAGGAUCCCUCGUAAAACAAGGCCAUAUCUGAUUUGGAUUAAAAUCCCCACGGAGAACCUGAUGUCACCCAGGAAAGUGCACGUCUACUUGCGUGCUCUUGAGAAACAGUUGAGAAAACAGUCCUUCCAGCUCAGUAAAUACCAUUUUGUUUCUGUCUGCUCACCACCCUUGCAUUUGCAAUAAACCUGACAAAAACUUCCAGAGCGAAAAUAAGAAUGUUCAUAUUUGAAGGAGAUGUUGGCAGACGGCCACAGACUUCAAGUACGCAAGCUCAUUCCGCUCUUGCUUUUCUGCCAAUAACUCCUUGGCCUCCGCGCACUCUGCACAGGCAGGGCCUGAGGACGGAUCAUGAUCGUGUCCGAUGAUCACGGACCCGCCGGAGACUCUCAAUGGAGAGGCGAUGAGUCACAGCCAAGCGAACUUUCUCUGCUCCUGAACAAAUUGCUUCUCCUCGUCGUCCCACUCCAAACCUAGAGGUGGGACAACCCCAGCAUCCUGGGCGUGAACGCACCCAGCUUGAUUGUCACAUGGGGAAUAGAGACCUCGCGCCUGCCUGGCAUAGGCCAACCCAGUAAUGUUCAUUUAAAGCUGGCUUUACUAGUCCUUCUUCCACAAUGAGAGGUGACCCUUCACUUCACCGAGAAAGGAAGGAAGAAAGCGUAAUAUUUCAUCGCGUGAAGAGGCCAUGAUUUCUCCGUUCCGCUGAGGAUCGCUUGAGCUGUUUCCAGUUUGGGGCGCGAUGAACAAUGCCGCAGUGAGGAUUCUUGUCAGUGCUGGCGUAUCUCAUGAUGGAGUUUCACUCUUGUCUCCCAGGCUGUGGGUGCAAUGGGAGAAACAGGAAAACUUUGAAGAAUCUUCCAGAUUUGCCUAACGCAGAUGUGCAUGACCUGACAAGAUAGAUGUGCCAUUUGGACCCUUUCAAGAGCAGACAGAAGGGAAGGGAGGUAAUACGGAUCAAUUACAGAUGUGGGUUGCUUUAUUUAUUUAUUUUUUUUUUGAGGUGGAGUCUCACUCUGUUACCAAAGCUGGAGUGCAGUGGUACAAUCUCAGCUCACUGCAACCUCCGCCUCUUGGGUUCAAGUGAUUCUCCUGCCUCAGCCUCCCAAGUAGCUGGGAUUACAGGCGUGUGCCACCACGCCUGGCUAAUUUUGUAUUUUUAGCAGGGACGGGGUUUCACUAUGUUGGCCAGGCUGGUCUUGAACUCCUGACCUCAGGUGAUCUGCCCAACUCGCACUCCCGAAGUGCUGGGAUUACAGGCGUGAACCACCGUGCCCAGCCUGUGUGUUGCUUAUUGACACCUGAGAAAGUCAACAUAAGGCAAUUCCGUCAUUGUAUGAACAUCACAGGGUGCACUUACACAGACCUAGAUGGCACAGCCUACCACACACCUAGGCCACAUGGUGUAACCUAUUGCUCCUAUGCUACCAACCUGUACAGCUUGUUACCCCACUGAAUACUGUAGGCAACUGCAACAAAAUGGUAAGUGAUUGUGUAUCUAAACACUUCUUUAUCAUUAUUAUUAUACCUUAAGUCCUAGGGUACAUGUGCACAAUGUGCAGGUUUGUUACGUAAGUAUACAUGUGCCAUGUUGGUUUGCUGUACCCAUUAACUCGUCAUUUACAUUAGGUAUUUCUCCUAAUGCUAUCCCUCCCGCCUCCCCCCGCCCCAUGACAGACCCCGGUGUGUGAUGUUAUCUGCCCUGUGUCCAAGUGUUCUCAUUGUUCAAUUCCCACCUAUGAGUGAGAACAUGCAGUGUUUGGUUUUCUGUCCUUGUGACAGUUUGCUCAGAAUGAUGGUUUCCAGCUUCAUCCAUGUCCCUGCAAAGGACAUGACCUCCUCCUUUUUUAUGGCUGUAUAGUAUUCCAUGGUGUGUAUGUGCCUCAUUUUCUUAAUCCAGUCUAUCAUUAAUGGACAUUUGGGUUGGUUCCGAGUUUUUGCUAUUGUGAAUAGUGCCACAAUAAACAUACGUGUGCAUGUGUCUUUAUAGUAGCAUGAUUUAUAAUCCUUUGGGUAUAUACCCAGUAAUGGGAUGGCUGGGUCAAGUGGUAUUUCUAGUUCUAGAUCCUUGAGGAAUCGCCACACUGUCUUCCACAAUGGUUGAACUAGUUUACACUCCCACCAACAGUGUAAAAGCAUUCCUAUUUCUCCACAUCCUCUCCAGCAUCUGUUGUUUCCUGACUUUUUAAUGAUCGCCAUUCUAAAUGGUGUGAGAUGGUAUCUCAUUGUGGUUUUGAUUUGCAUUUCUCUGAUGACCAAACACUUCUAAACAUAAAAAAUGCACAGCACAAAUACAGUAUAAAAGAUUAAAAAUGGGCCGCACAGUGGCUCACGCCUGUAA